AGGGUUGCCUGGGAAUUGGAUGCAAAGAUGAAAAUAUCCGAGUAGCUUUCUCCCAACAUUCUACUUGGUCAUUAACCAACUAUCCGAGUACAGAGCUGCUCCUAAUUAACCCUGAAGACCUCGACAGAAAGCUAACCUUGAUGAGACACAUCUCCAGAGAUAGUAGAAACACGAGAGAGACAGAAGGCAGAAGACAUGGAGAAGAUACAGAUCCAGGAGUACCAUUCUACUUUUCCAUGACUGCCCCUCCAACCUCUUGUUGGUUUCCCAGGCCAGUAGUUAAAGACUUGGUGCUUGAUGCCUUUGCAUGUGGGUAAUGUCCCUUCUCUACAAAUGUAAUGAUGUCUACUUCA